CUUCCUUAGAGGGGGAGAGGCCUGAGUUAGAGAAGGUCAUGUGACCACAGAAGCAGAGGCUGCAUUUGGCAGAGGGAGCCAAGGCCCAGGAGGGAAGGGACCUCCAGAGCCGGCAAGGCCAGCUGAGUGAACUCUUUCCUACAGACUCCAGAAGGAACCCAGAGCUGCCCACCCCUGGAUUUCAGCCUCCUGGGGCUGAGUUUGGACUUCUGACGCCCAGGACUGCAGGAUAAGGAGCUUGGUUGUUUCCAGUUUGUGGUGAUUUGUUACAGCAGCUGCAGGAAACCGAUACCGACUUAAAGGAGCACCUCCCAUCUAAGCAGCUUCUCCAUGGCAUGUUAGAAGGUGGUGGCCAAUAAUUCCGGGCUCUUCUUUGCCUUAGGGAGAAGCAGCCACGGGGACAGUGUCUACCAGCCCUGUGGAAAUUGGGCCUCUGAGUGGGACAGUCCUGAGGUCCUCUCUAGAGGAGAAGCCUUCUGCUCAUUGAGAAGAGAGAGCCUGGCCACUGGGGUAAGGUGCCAGCACGGUUCUAACGGCCUCCUGGGACUCGGUUCUGACGGCCUCUGGGACUCCGCUGCUGGGACUCAGAAGACGGAGAAUGCUGCUCGCCCGUCCCCACCCGGGGCUGCGGUGAGAGGAGCUUCUGCCACCGUGGGCAGCGGCCUGAGCCUGGCUUCCUGUCCACACCAGGAUCAGGGCUCCUCACGCCCAGGGCGGCUGCUCCCACACCUCGGUGGCACUGAGCAGGAGGGAGAGGGCCACCCGCUGGCCCUGGGGCCUCAGCCUCCUGAUUCGGGUCUGGCUGCGUCUCCCAGCAGCGCACUUCCUGGCUACAAUCCCAGCCCCCAGCACACGGCCCCCUGCCCCUUCCUGGGAGGCCCCGCCCCCUUCCCGGGAGGCCACGCCCAGCAGUAGUUUCCUCUUUGAGCAGCCGCCCCACCUCCCACUCCCUGAGAAGCCCGUGGGGGCUGGCGUGUGGGUGGCGUCGCCUUCAUUACUUGAAAGCAAAGCUGGACUCAAGGCUGUUGUUUCCCCUGUACCGCAGGUCGGGGUACAGGGUUAGUUGCUGUAACAAAAUCCAUCACAGCAUCAUCCUGGACAAGACAGAGUUGGUGUCAGGGACCCAGACUCCUGCUAGCUCGCUGCUGGGCCCCCCUCUACACAUGACUUCCACCUGGUGAUCAAAAACGGCUGCUGUGGCUCCUACCAUCAUGUCCCCACUCUAGCCAGCAGGAAGGGGCCGUGAGGAAGUGGGCUGGAUGUUGCACAGGUCACUUCCACUCGUGUGCCUCUGGCCAGAGCCUGGCACAUGGGUAUCAGGAGUUGCAAUAGAGGGUAGGAAAUGGGGUUUUGGGUUUGGAGGUCAAGGACCCUGCAGAAAUUUUUAUUACCCUAGUAGAAAAUAAUAGAUAUUUUUUGCUACAGCCCUGGCUUCCACGAUAGGCAGAAGCGCCCAAGAAUGUUCUAGUCAAGCACUGAGUUUCCCUGGAGGCUGGGGGGAGGCGAGUAUGACCCGGCAAAGACCCGGGAGUAUAACGCAUGGCUUUCCUCUCACGCAGUGCAGCGGAGACAGCAUUCCCACCACCAAGGGUGGCUGCUGGAUGCCGUCCAAGGACAGGGUGGGAGGCCCGCUGGGUGAGGGAGGGUCUGAGUGGCCCAGAUGUGGACACUGUCUUAGGAGCCACUCCCUCCCGCAGGCCGCCCCUAUGGCCCCUGUCCCACAGCAGGGUCCCUCAUGCAGGGCUCCUCUCCCUGGACGCAGCUGUGCCAGACUGAUAUGUGCAGAAUUCGGAAGAUGCCGAGUCCUUCUCUUUCAAAGCACUCACAGUUACACAAUUGUGUCACUUCUCUCUCUCAGAGAAUCCCAGUCUUGUUUGAGCAGCACUGAGGCUAGCCCCAGGGGAUCAGUCAUGAAUGGUCCAUUCACAGCAAUUCCGACAGGUGUGAGCAUGUGCCACAAGCCUAGUCAAUGACACAGAAAGGGAAGUCACCUGGGGGCUUUCAGGAAGAUUGCCUACCCACCCAACAGGGAAAGAUCUCUUUCAGAUGUUGGUGUAUGAGAUGUAAUGCCUGGAGCUGUGGCAGCCACUUUGUAACAACAAGAUGACAAGGAUUUCAGAGCAAAAGGGUGGAAGGCACAGAGGUUCUUGAGGCUCUGGGUUAACCCCAGGACUUCUCAUCUCAGUAAUUCUUCUUAUUCUUAAACAAAAUUUGUGGCUCAAGCCACUCAGAGUCAGUAAUCUGUUCCUGAUAGCAAAGCAUUCAAACACAGCCACUCUUGUGCCGGAGCUUUUGGUGAUUCUCCAUUCUGCACAGCAGAAGAGCUGAAGGUCUUAACCUGGCUCACAGAGCCUGUGCCUCCCCUUGCGAGCUGGAACUGUGUCCCUCUCCCCUUUGCUCACUCUGUCCCCUCCACACCGACCGUCUUGAGUUUUCUCCUGACCCUCCAGGUCUCUCACCUGUUGGGGCCCUGGUGCGGGCUGUGCGUUCUGCCUGGAGUGCGUCUCCUGCACCUCUCAGUGUCACCUGGCUACUUCUACAGACCUGCUGGCCUUAAUUCUUGCAGCCUCCAGCGAGGCCUUCCUGUGCCUUGGGGGGCUCUGGCUGAGGCAGAAGGAGGCCCUCACUCACGACUCCUAGCCGCUGUCUUCCGGCAGGAACUGAGCUCCCCCGGGCCUCCCGGGCUCUGCUUUCCCACGCAGUACUGAGCGCAGUACUGGCCUGCAGCACAGGGGCGCUUCCUGUCUCCCCACCAUGGCCAGCAAUGAAGGUAGUAGCCCCCCUUUUCCAUGGCCAACCACGGUCAAAAGGACUAAAUGGGAAAUUCAGAGAUCGACUGUUCAUGAACUUUCAGUAACUUGUAUUACAAUUUGCUGC
rnacentral:lncRNA from 1 species